UGGGGAAUAUUGCACAAUGGGCGCAAGCCUGAUGCAGCCAUGCCGCGUGUAUGAAGAAGGCCUUCGGGUUGUAAAGUACUUUCAGCGGGGAGGAAGGGAGUAAAGUUAAUACCUUUGCUCAUUGACGUUACCCGCAGAAGAAGCACCGGCUAACUCCGUGCCAGCAGCCGCGGUAAUACGGAGGGUGCAAGCGUUAAUCGGAAUUACUGGGCGUAAAGCGCACGCAGGCGGUUUGUUAAGUCAGAUGUGAAAUCCCCGGGCUCAACCUGGGAACUGCAUCUGAUACUGGCAAGCUUGAGUCUCGUAGAGGGGGGUAGAAUUCCAGGUGUGGCGGUGAAAUGCGUAGAGAUCUGGAGGAAUACCGGUGGCGAAGGCGGCCCCCUGGACGAAGACUGACGCUCAGGUGCGAAAGCGUGGGGAGCGAACAGG
rnacentral:rRNA from 1 species